UACGAAGGGGGCGAGCGUUGUUCGGAUUUACUGGGCGUAAAGGGCGCGUAGGCGGCCCUCCUCGUCGCGUGUGAAAGCCCCGGGCUCAACCUGGGAAUUGCGCGCGAAACGGGGGGGCUUGAGUUCGGGAGAGGAGCGUGGAAUUCCCAGUGUAGAGGUGAAAUUCGUAGAUAUUGGGAAGAACACCGGUGGCGAAGGCGGCGCUCUGGACCGAGACUGACGCUGAGGCGCGAAAGCGUGGGGAGCAAACAGG
rnacentral:rRNA from 1 species